UAUUUAUUUUUAAAUUUAAACCUAUUAUACGAUAUGUUAUAUACGUAUAUACUCUAUAACCCUAGCAGCCAGAUAGUAUCGUAUUCCCUUAUUCUCACCAUCUCUCAAUUUCUUUUUUUAUUCUCUCUAUUGAACCAAAUCAAUUGUUUUAAUCUUAAGAGCUUCGGGGUUAGCAAUCAACCGAUCAUCGUUCCGUGUCUUCGAAAUCUUCAGGGCCUAGAAGGUAUCGUAAGAGUUAAUUACAGCGGAGUUGAGGUAAGGAAAAAUAAUGAUACUUUAUACUUGCUUUUUAUAUGGUUUGAGUAUCUAGUAUGACUGCUUGAAUAAAUUGUACUGAAAUUGUGGAAUGUGAUAGUUUCGGUGAAAUAGUGUUUUAUCGAUGAAUUGUAUAUGGUUGUUUAAUCAUGUUCCAGGUACUUGGAAGUGGUUGGAAACCACACAUGUAUGGUGAUGUGGUAAGUGAGGCAGUGUACGUAAGGGUGCACUGGUUAUUGGUACUGCGUUCUGGUUAAGAACGUAAGACACUCCAGAUUUGUAUGGAAGCUGGAGUGUGAUUGUGAGUGUGAGUGUGUGGUAUUUCAGUAUUUGUGUGGCUGCCUCUAUUUAUACUUAUGAUUAGGUUGUUGUAUGUUUGAUGUAUAUGUUUGUGCUAUGAUGUGUGAAUGCUGGUACAUAGUAUUGUGUUUUUCCUUACUGGGCUUUGCAGCUCACCCCUUAUUUACCCCCUAUG